GUGCGUCUUCAGGGCGGGGCGAAAUUCCCCACCGGCGGUAUGUGCGCUUGGCCGAAAGGUCAUCCACGAGCCCGCGAGCGCCUGCCAGCAGCAUCGGCGGGGUCAGCAGAUCUGGUGCGAAGCCAGAGCCGACGGUCAUAGUCCGGAUGGAAGAAGAUGUGC
rnacentral:ncRNA from 2 species